rnacentral:rRNA from 1 species
UACAGGGGGGGCAAGCGUUGUUCGGAAUUACUGGGCGUAAAGGGUUUGUAGGUGGCCACUUAAGUCAGACGUGAAAUCCCUCAGCUUAACUGGGGAACUGCGUCUGAUACUGCGUGGCUUGAGUGCAGGAGAGGAACGCGGAAUUCCAGGUGUAGCGGUGAAAUGCGUAGAUAUCUGGAGGAACACCGGUGGCGAAGGCGGCAUCCUGGACCAAUUCUGACGCUGAGUGAGCGAAAGCCAGGGGAGCAAACGGG